UACGAAGGGGGCUAGCGUUGUUCGGAUUUACUGGGCGUAAAGCGCACGUAGGCGGAUUGUUAAGUGAGAGGUGAAAAUCCCCGGAGCUCAACUCCGGAACUGCCUUUCAUACUGGCAAUCUAGAGUCCGGAAGAGGUGAGUGGAACUCCUAGUGUAGAGGUGGAAUUCGUAGAUAUAGGAAGAACACCAGUGGCGAAAGGCGGCUCACUGGCCCGAUACUGACGCUGAGGCAACGAAAAGCGUGGGGGAGCAAACAGG
rnacentral:rRNA from 1 species